UACAUAUAUGUAAAGAAAAUCGUGACACCUAUUUUCUUAAUGUUAACCUGAACGCGUCUAGCUGUUUUAGCCAUAGAGUUUACCAGCUGUCAUGAAUGACAGUUAUGACAUUGACAUUCAUGAUUGGCAAAAUAUGAAAGGAUUGUUCAUUACUAUAAAAUAGAUUUGAUUGAUUUUCUGUAAAAGAAAUAACAAAACGCUUAAUAGAGGCUUUAAAUGUUGUUUCUUUUGUCUUUACAGAGAAACGCAAUUACGCCUUUGUUAUAUUCACAACAGUGAAAUAUUAUUAUAAAACAACAUUUUCUGCAAAUUAUUUCAAGAAACAUGGAGAAGUUAAGGUUUGAUUUUGUUGUAAAAUCUGCGACAGAUGGAAAAUCAAAUCUCAUGUGUAUAACUUCAAUUGCUACACCGGAUGGAAAGAUUUUUGGACUACCACCGGAAUACCAGCCUGCGCAUAUGCAUUCAGCAAUUACAAAUACUUCCAAUUAUGCGAAAAUACGGAAGUCGUUAACUAAAAGACAUCAAACAAGGAAAAUUUGGAUAACCUUGACGGAAGAGAUAUAAAAGUAUACUUGGAUGAAGAAGAAAACAUACAGUUUAAUGAUAUUUACCUAGAAGAAAUUUUAGAAAAGAGUGUAGAAUCUAUACCGUGUGGCUCAAAUGAAACAAUGGAAAAACUGUUGGAAAAAUUACUUGAUGAGAAACAAAAGAAGUCGGAAACACAAAAUUUAGGAAAAAUUGCGAAGGAUUUUAUGAUUAACAAAUUUACCGGUAGAAAUUCAAAUGCUUACCAGUGGAUUCAAGAUUUUAAUAAAGAAUGUGAACGUUUCCAAAUUAACGAAGACAGGAAAAA